rnacentral:rRNA from 1 species
AACGGAUAUCUCGGCUCUCGCCACGAUGAAGAAUGUAGCGAAAUGCGAUACUUAGUGUGAAUUGCAGAAUCCCGUGAAUCAUCAAGUCUUUGAACGCAAGUUGCGCCCGAGGCCUCGACCAAGGGCACGUCUGCUUGGGCGUCGC